CCUUAACCAAAUAACGCACAUACCUUUAAUAUUUCAUAAUCUACAUUGUGGAAAAGAAAGAAGAUGAAGAAGAAUUUCCAAUUAUUUGGUUAUAUUAACAAAUAAUUACAUUCAAGCUUGAAGACUUUAACAUUACACACAAAACUGUGCAAAAUAGAAGAGGAAGAAAGAGCAAAAAAUAGGAUAUCUGAAUCUUAAUCUUAAUGGAAAAAUAUGCAAAACCAAAAACAGGUAAGUGAAGCAUUGGAAUUUGCAGAAGAUACUUAUCUCAAUCACCUUUAAAAAGUGUGAUAUAUUUGUGUUUUUUUACAAAAUAGGAUUGGGGUUUAAUAGUUCAAAA